rnacentral:rRNA from 1 species
GACGAACGCUGGCGGCGUGCUUAACACAUGCAAGUCGAACGGAAAGGCCCUGCUUUUGUGGGGUGCUCGAGUGGCGAACGGGUGAGUAACACGUGAGUAACCUGCCCCUGACUUUGGGAUAACUUCAGGAAAAUGGGGCUAAUACCGGAUAGGAGCUCCUGCUGCACGGUGGGGGUUGGAAAGUUUCGGUGGUUGGGGAUGGACUCGCGGCUUAUCAGCUUGUUGGUGGGGUAGUGGCUUACCAAGGCUUUGACGGGUAGCCGGCCUGGGAGGGUGACCGGCCACAUUGGGACUGAGAUACGGCCCAGACUGCUACGGGAGGCAACAGUGGGAAGUAUUGCACAGUGGGCGGAAGCCUGAUGCAGCGGCGCCGCGUGCGGGAUGACGGCCUUCGGGUUAUGAACCACUUUCGCCUGUGACGAAGCGUGAGUGACGGUAAUGGGUAAAGAAGCACCGGCUAACUACGUG